UACAGAGGUCUCAAGCGUUGUUCGGAUUCAUUGGGCGUAAAGGGUGCGUAGGUGGCGCUGUAAGUCGGGUGUGAAAUUUCGGAGCUUAACUCCGAAACUGCAUUCGAUACUGCGGUGCUUGAGGACUGGAGAGGAGACUGGAAUUCAUGGUGUAGCAGUGAAAUGCGUAGAGAUCAUGAGGAAGACCAGUGGCGAAGGCGGGUCUCUGGACAGUUUCUGACACUGAGGCGCGACAGCGUGGGGAGCAAACAGG
rnacentral:rRNA from 1 species